GAUGGGCUUUAAUUAUUUUAUUUUCUUCUUCUCCUUCUAUUAUUAUUUUUCUCUUUUUCCUUUUUUUUUAUUUUCUUUCCUUUCUUUUCUUAUUUUUCUUUUGUUUUCUUUUGUUUUCUUUUCUUCUCCUACUUUCUCUUUCCUCCCUUCUUCCUGCGUUCUUUUCUUUUCUUCUCCCUUCGUUCUCUUCCAGCGCAGGUGACAGGGAAGGGCACCGGCGGCUAGGUGGGCGGCGGACCGGAGAGGGGAGACCGGUUCCGGGACCAGGGAGCCGAGGGGGUUCCAUUCCCCUCGGUGACAACGCCCAGGACGGCGCCGGGAAGGCUCGCGGCGGUGGCCGAUCUAGG
rnacentral:lncRNA from 1 species